rnacentral:rRNA from 1 species
GAUGAACGCUGGCGGCGUGCUUAACACAUGCAAGUCGAACGGACUUUACAUGAAGCCUAGCGAAUGUAAAGUUAGUGGCGGACGGGUGAGUAACGCGUGAAUAACCUGCCUUAUACUGGGGGACAACAGUUGGAAACGACUGCUAAUACCGCAUAAGCGCACGGAGCUGCAUGGCUCAGUGUGAAAACUCCGGUGGUAUAAGAUGGAUUCGCGUCUGAUUAGCUAGUUGGUGAGGCAACGGCCCACCAAGGCGACGAUCAGUAGCCGGCCUGAGAGGGUGAACGGCCACAUUGGGACUGGGACACGGCCCAA